UAAGAGUUUCUGAUGUUGAAAAUCAUUCUUUGUGAGUUUCCAAUUUGGAAUUUAUGAAUGGUACCCUAGAUUUACCCAUUCUGAUACUUCCUGUCUUUCCUUGCUUUUUCCUGGGAGCACGGAAUCUGUAUUAACACACAGAGCAGGUACCAGACUGGUCAAAAUGCUAACCGUACUGUAUUAACACACAGAGCAGGUACCAGACUGGUCAAAAUGCUAACUUUACUGUAUUAACACACAGAGCAGGUACCAGACUGGACAAAAUGCUAAUCAUACUGUAUUAACACACAGAGCAGGUACCAGACUGGUCAAAAUGCUAACCGUACUGUAUUAACACACAGAGCAGGUACCAGACUGGUCAAAAUGCUAACCAUACUAUAUUAA
rnacentral:lncRNA from 1 species